CCCUUGUUAGCUCAGUUGGUAGUGCGCUUCACCUGUAAUGGAGAGGUCCCGGGUUCGAUACCCGGACCAGGCG
rnacentral:tRNA from 1 species